GAGAGAGAGAGAGAUGGUAAGAACGCGAGGAAGAAGACGAGAGGAGGAAGACGAAGUUAUUUUGAAACGACACCGUUUGGUUUAAACCAAACGGCGUCGUUCUACUUAAUUUUUUUUUUAUUCAUUAUGAAUUAAAUGAUGCCGUUUAGUUUAAUACCAAACGCCGUCAUUUAAGUUGUGUUUAAAACACAACUUAGGCUUAAAACGACGUCAUUCCACUUAGAUUUAAGUAGAACGGCGUCGUUUUAAGUACAGAAUAUAUAUAAAAAAAAUAGUUUAUGUAGUUGGCCGGUUCAGUGGUUUGAACCCUGUUUGAACCGACGCCGAAUCGGUCGAUAUCGGUUUUCUCUAUUUGCUGCAGCACGCCGAUCGGUUCUCCACCAGUUUCGGUCGGUUCUGAGCUCCGGCGGCCGGUCUGAGUCGAUCUAGGUCGGUUUCUCGGUUCUUUGUACAACC